rnacentral:rRNA from 1 species
CGAUAACAACGAGACCUUGACCUGCUAAAUAGCCAGCCUGACUUUUGUUUGGGCGCCGGCUUCUUAGAGGGACUUUUGGCUCAAGCCAAUGGAAGUACGAGGCAAUAACAGGUCUGUGAUGCCCUUAGAUGUUCUGGGCCGCACGCGCGCUACACUGACAGAGCCAGCGAGUACAUCACCUUGGCCGAAAGGUCUGGGUAAUCUUGUUAAACUCUGUCGUGCUGGGGAUAGAGCAUUGCAAUC